UCUUGACUAUUAGCAAGUGUUAUGUACAAUGUAUCAAAUAUCUGCCGCCAGUUAUCAUUUCGCUUACGUUUCAACUUGAUCAACUAUAAAUUGGCAACCGACUGUGCUUUCUAGUAUUUAUUAGACGCAGAGAUUGUGUUUCAAAUUUAUCGCACCUGAUGACCUGCCUCGAAGUGUAAGCCGUUGAAAAUUAUUCUCUGAUGAUUUCUCUCGUCGAGAUUAUAUGAUUACUAGCUAUUAUGAUUAUGAAUAUGUUUUACUUUAGAAUCUUGACAAAUUUGUUUUAUAGAAUUUUUAUUAUUAUAACGAAAGAAAGUCACCGUGUGCAUAAAAAACCUCAUAAUAAGAACUAAAAGAUAUAUCUUUUGCUAUAUGCUUUUAAAAUCAAAGAAUGAUAAAUGUUUUCGUUGCAAACAAUGUCGUUGUCUGACAUUUGUUGAUUGUCAAAAAAUAUAACGACUGGAAUAAGACCAAAGAAGUAAACAAAGUUAAAA